GCGGGAGUUCGGGGCGACCGGUUCGAGACCCGCUGCGGAGGCGCGGAGCGCCGUCCGGGCCAAGCAUUCCGAGCAGCUGGGAUGAAGCGUUCCCCGGCGAGGAGUUGGAGUUGGGCUCCAAACACAGAGCAGAGUUUAUAACCAGAGAGAAAUGUUGAAACAACAAUCUAAAGAAACCAAGCUUCUUAGCACUGGAAUAAAAGAUUCCUGGGGUGUGGAGAGCAGCACAUGCUGCAAGAUUCCUAAUUGAUAAACACAGAGGUGAGAAGCUAAGCUCAAGAUAUCAUCUUAUCUAGAAACCUUUCCUUUGAUAGAUCACAUACUGGGUCACAAAACAGCCCUUCAUAAAUAUACAAGAAUUGAAAUCAUACCAUGCAUACUUUCAGACCACAAUGCUAUGAAGCUUGAA